rnacentral:rRNA from 1 species
UACGGAGGGAGCUAGCGUUGUUCGGAAUUACUGGGCGUAAAGCGCACGUAGGCGGCUUUGUAAGUUAGAGGUGAAAGCCCGGGGCUCAACCCCGGAAUUGCCUUUAAGACUGCAUCGCUUGAAUCCGGGAGAGGUGAGUGGAAUUCCGAGUGUAGAGGUGAAAUUCGUAGAUAUUGGGAAGAACACCGGUGGCGAAGGCGGCGACCUGGUCCUUUUACUGACGCUGAGGCGCGAAAGCGUGGGGAGCAAACAGG